rnacentral:rRNA from 1 species
UACGUAGGGGGCAAGCGUUGUCCGGAUUUAUUGGGCGUAAAGAGCGUGUAGGCGGCUUUACAGGUCCGCUGUGAAAACUCGAGGCUCAACCUCGAGACGCCGGUGGAAACCGUAAGGCUAGAGUCCGGAAGAGGAGAGUGGAAUUCCUGGUGUAGCGGUGAAAUGCGCAGAUAUCAGGAAGAACACCCGUGGCGAAGGCGGCUCUCUGGGACGGUACUGACGCUGAGACGCGAAAGCGUGGGGAGCGAACAGG